AGAGGGAGGAGGGGGGUAGAGAGGGAGGGGGGUACCAACCAAUAAGAUGCCUUUGAAAUGUGUCUACUAAUUGAUGAGACAAGCUCAGACUCGUCCUGUAGUGAUGUAUAUUGGCUGCAUCUUGUGACCAUGACCAACAUCUUUGGAAUGUGAGACGAGGAGAGGGAGGGAGAGACGGACAGAGACAGAGA